rnacentral:rRNA from 1 species
CCUACGGGAGGCAGCAGUAGGGAAUUUUGCGCAAUGGGCGCAAGCCUGACGCAGCAACGCCGCGUGCUCGAGACGCCCUUCAGGGUGUAUAGAUCUGUCAGUGGGGACGAAACUUGACGGUACCCACAGAGGAAUCACCGGCUAGCUCCGUGCCAGCAGCAGCGGUAAUACGGGGGGUGCAAGCGUUGUCCGGAAGAAUUGGGCGUAAAGCGUUCGUAGGCGGCAGGUAAAGUCAGGUGUGAAAGGCAGAGGUUCAACUUCGGUACGGCACUGGAUACUUGCGAGCUAGAAUGUAGUAGCGGUAAAGGGAAUGCAUGGUGUAGCGGUGAAAUGCUUAGAGAUCA